GCCAAUGUAGCUCAGGGGUAGAGCACUUCCUUGGUAAGGAAGGGGUCACGAGUUCAAUUCUCGUCAUUGGCUC
rnacentral:tRNA from 1 species